AAAAAAAGCAACCCACAGGGAGCCAGGUGUCCCAGGCUCUAGGAACUGAAGUCAAGGUUGUGUCUGCUUCCCUGAUCCCAUUCUGUGAGUUACGUUCUUUCAAAAUGUGCCUCCCCCCAUCACAGACCAACAGCUCUUGGACAUUCUGAAUUAUGGACCUCCUUGAAAAUGGAAUGAGAGCGUGGAUGGAGCCUCAGCUUUCCUUGGGGGCUGGCACUUAACAAGACAGAGAAAAACACCUACAACUGGGUUACUUCAAUAGCAUUCAGGAAGGCACGGGGCCUGUCUUGCACUUAUGGCAGAAAGUUGUCACCUUCACGGCGUGCAGCCACAACAUUUGCAUUUGGACUGCUGAACAUAAACGGAAUCCAUCUCCAUCCAAAAGUCAGGAGCUUCACCCACUUUGCCUCCCCCCAUAUCCUCAUUCGAGCC